AUUGAACGCUGGCGGCAUGCCUUACACAUGCAAGUCGAACGGCAGCGGGGGAGAAGCUUGCUUUUCCUGCCGGCGAGUGGCGAACGGGUGAGUAAUACAUCGGAACGUGCCCUGUAGUGGGGGAUAACUAGUCGAAAGAUUAGCUAAUACCGCAUACGACCUGAGGGUGAAAGUGGGGGACCGCAAGGCCUCAUGCUAUAGGAGCGGCCGAUGUCUGAUUAGCUAGUUGGUGGGGUAAAGGCCUACCAAGGCGACGAUCAGUAGCUGGUCUGAGAGGACGAUCAGCCACACUGGGACUGAGACACGGCCCAGACUCCUACGGGAGGCAGCAGUAGGGAAUUUUGGACAAUGGGCGAAAGCCUGAUCCAGCAAUGCCGCGUGUGUGAAGAAGGCCUUCGGGUUGUAAAGCACUUUUGUCCGGAAAGAGAUGGCUCUGGUUAAUACCUGGGGUCGAUGACGGUACCGGAAGAAUAAGGACCGGCUAACUACGUGCCAGCCGCCGCGGUAAAAC
rnacentral:rRNA from 1 species